UACGGGGGGGGCAAGCGUUGUUCGGAAUUACUGGGCGUAAAGGGCUCGUAGGCGGCCAACUAAGUCGGACGUGAAAUCCCCAGGCUCAACCUGGGAACUGCGUCCGAUACUGGAUGGCUUGAAUUCGGGAGAGGGAUGCAGAAUUCCAGGUGUAGCGGUGAAAUGCGUAGAUAUCUGGAGGAAUACCGGUGGCGAAGGCGGCAUCCUGGACCGGCAUUGACGCUGAUGAGCGAAAGCUAGGGGAGCAAGCGGG
rnacentral:rRNA from 1 species